rnacentral:rRNA from 1 species
UACGGGGGGAGCAAGCGUUGUUCGGAUUUACUGGGCGUAAAGGGCGCGUAGGCGGUCAGCACAAGUCAGUUGUGAAAUCUCCGGGCUUAACUCGGAAAGGUCAACUGAUACUGUGCGACUAGAGUGCAGAAGGGGCAACUGGAAUUCUCGGUGUAGCGGUGAAAUGCGUAGAUAUCGAGAGGAACACCUGCGGCGAAGGCGGGUUGCUGGGCUGAUACUGACGCUGAUGCGCGAAAGCCAGGGGAGCGAACGGG